AAAAUCCGUCGACUUUAAAAAUCGUGAGGGUUCAA
rnacentral:tRNA from 25 species